CGUGGUAAAGAAACAAACAUACGAGGACACUAAACGUAACGUGGAACCUCCGUACUAAACGUGGAUAAUAACUUUGGAACAACCGCUAGAUGUGUUUUUCAGGAGCCACGCUUCCGUGAAUAAAAGGUCAACGAUAUGUUAAACGAACAACCCAGUGACAAGAGAAACCUAACAGCAGUUCUCCUUGGUUGCUUUUGAAAUACAACGACGAUGAGGACGAUGACGACAAUGACAACGAGUCAUGGGAUACUCAAACUUACUCGGCCCAAUUUCCGUGAAGCUCUCAAGCGUUACGAGGCCACUGGGCAUUCCUAAAUUACAGUUGGUACUUCCGCCACCUAGUAUCUACGCUGUUAAUCUACAGUAUGUUCCAUGAACUCGACGUAAGUGUGUUUCAUUUUACUAUCUAUCGAGAAAAAAUACAGGAAACCUAGAGAUGAGAAUAUUGUCGAGCUUAGAUAUACGUAAAUGGAAUUGGAUUACAAUUUUUUUUAAUCUUAAUAUUAAAACAUAGUAUAUUUUUGAUGGAAAAGUAUAUUUUUUAAUUGAACAUAAUCCAAACCAAGAUUAGAAAAUUCUACUGCAUGGAUAUGGCAAUCAAUAAAA